rnacentral:rRNA from 1 species
GAGGGAUCAUUACACAAUACAAUAUGAAGGCUGUCCGCAGCUGGAGUAUUUUAUUACCCUUGUCUUUUGCGCACUUGUUGUUUCCUGGGCGGGUUCGCUCGCCACCAGGACCACCAAAUAAACCUUUUUUAUGCAGUUGCAAUCAGCGUCAGUACAAACAAUGUAAAUCAUUUACAACUUUCAACAACGGAUCUCUUGGUUCUGGCAUCGAUGAAGAACGCAGCGAAAUGCGAUACGUAGUGUGAAUUGCAGAAUUCAGUGAAUCAUCGAAUCUUUGAACGCACAUUGCGCCCUUUGGUAUUCCAAAGGGCAUGCCUGUUCGAGCGUCAUUUGUACCCUCAAGCUUUGCUUGGUGUUGGGCGUUUUUGUCUUUGGUCGCCCAAAGACUCGCCUUAAAGUGAUUGGCAGCCGGCCUUUCUGGUUUCGCAGCGCAGCACAUUUUUGCGCUUGCCAUCAGCAAAACGGCAAUCCAUCAAGCCUCCUUCUCACGUUUGACCUCGGAUCAGGUAGGGAUACCCGCUGAACUUAAGC